rnacentral:rRNA from 1 species
GAAUAUUGGACAAUGGGGGCAACCCUGAUCCAGCCAUGCCGCGUGCGUGAAGAAGGCCUUAGGGUUGUAAGGCGCUUUCACUGGUGAAGAUGAUGACGGUAGCCAGAGAAGAAGCCCCGGCUACCUCCGUGCCAGCAGCCGCGGUAAUACGGAGGGGGCAAGCGUUGUUCGGAAUUACUGGGCGUAAAGGGCGCGUAGGCGGAAUAUCAAGUUAGGGGUGAAAGGCCCGGGCUCAACAUGGGAACGGCCUCUAAAACUGAUAAUCUUGAGUCCGGAAGAGGAUGGCGGAAUUCCCAGUGUAGAGGUGAAAUUCGUAGAUAUUGGGAAGAACACCGGUGGCGAAGGCGGCCAUCUGGUCUGGAACUGACGCUGAGGCGCGAAAGCGUGGGGAGCAAACAGG